rnacentral:rRNA from 1 species
GACGAACGCUGGCGGCGUGCCUAAUACAUGCCAGUAGAACGCUGAAGAGAUGAUCUUGCUCUUCUUUGGUGAGUUGCAAACGUGUGAGUAACGCGUAUGUAACCUGCCUUGUAGCGGGGGAUCACUAUUGGAAACGAUAGCUAAUACCGCAUAACCAUGGAUGACACAUUUCAUUUAUUUGAAAUUGGCAAUUUCUGCACUACAAGAUGGACCUGCGUUGUAUUAGCUAGUAGGUGAGGUAAUGGCUCACCUAGGCGACGUGACAUAGCCGACCUGAGAGGGCGAUCAGCCAGACUGGGACGGAGACACGGCCCAGAGGGAUACGGGAGCGAGCAGUAGGGAAACGUCGGCAAUGAGUGCAGCACUGAGCAAGAAACGCCGCGUGAGUGAGGAGGAUUGUCGGAUCGGAAAGCACGGUUGUAAGUCAAGAACCGGUGUGAGAGUGGGAAGAUCACAGUGUGACGGUAGCUUACAAGAAAGGAACGGCUAACUACGUG